CAAGUCGAACGAUGAAGCCUUUCGGGGUGGAUUAGUGGCGAACGGGUGAGUAACACGUGGGCAAUCUGCCCUUCACUCUGGGACAAGCCCUGGAAACGGGGUCUAAUACCGGAUACGACCUGCCUCCGCAUGGGGGUGGGUGGAAAGCUCC
rnacentral:rRNA from 1 species